rnacentral:sRNA from 1 species
CACUUUGGGCAAGUUAUUUAAAUCUCUGUAUUCCAAUUUCUUCAUCUGUUAAAUGAUAAUUAUAAUAGUGUACCUGUAGUGCAUAGGAUUAAAUAAAUUAAUAUGUGUAAUACUUAGAAUAGUAUGUGUAACAUCGUAAAUACACAAGUUAUUUGCUGCUAUUUUCUUAUUUUCACAGUAUAAGAAAAUACCUACUUAAGAUUCAUUUGGAGGCAUGUCUAAAUCUAGUAAUUUAUUAGAAGCUUAUCCAUCCCUAUUACUUUUUUAAAUGGCAUUAGUUUUGUGUGCUAUUGGUGUUUAUUUGCAUCCACCUGUCCAGUUGCCCUGCUGUCUUGUGUUUUUGCAGCCUCUACAACCCCACGUCAGAGUGUGGGAUUCUGUUACUCUAUCCACACUGCAGAUUAUUGGACUUGGCACUUUUGAACGUGGAGUAGGAUGCCUGGAUUUUUCAAAAGCAGAUUCAGGUGUUCAUUUAUGUGUUAUUGAUGACUCCAAUGAGCAUAUGCUUACUGUAUGGGACUGGCAGAAGAAAGCAAAAGGAGCAGAAAUAAAGACAACAAAUGAAGUUGUUUUGGCUGUGGAGUUUCACCCAACAGAUGCAAAUACCAUAAUUACAUGCGGUAAAUCUCAUAUUUUCUUCUGGACCUGGAGCGGCAAUUCACUAACAAGAAAACAGGGAAUUUUUGGGAAAUAUGAAAAGCCAAAAUUUGUGCAGUGUUUAGCAUUCUUGGGGAAUGGAGAUGUUCUUACUGGAGACUCAGGUGGAGUCAUGCUUAUAUGGAGCAAAACUACUGUAGAGCCCACACCUGGGAAAGGACCUAAAGGUGUAUAUCAAAUCAGCAAACAAAUCAAAGCUCAUGAUGGCAGUGUGUUCACACUUUGUCAGAUGAGAAAUGGGAUGUUAUUAACUGGAGGAGGGAAAGACAGAAAAAUAAUUCUGUGGGAUCAUGAUCUGAAUCCUGAAAGAGAAAUAGAGGUUCCUGAUCAGUAUGGCACAAUCAGAGCUGUAGCAGAAGGAAAGGCAGAUCAAUUUUUAGUAGGCACAUCACGAAACUUUAUUUUACGAGGAACAUUUAAUGAUGGCUUCCAAAUAGAAGUACAGGGUCAUACAGAUGAGCUUUGGGGUCUUGCCACACAUCCCUUCAAAGAUUUGCUCUUGACAUGUGCUCAGGACAGGCAGGUUUGCCUGUGGAACUCAAUGGAACACAGGCUGGAAUGGACCAGGCUGGUAGAUGAACCAGGACACUGUGCAGAUUUUCAUCCAAGUGGCACAGUGGUGGCCAUAGGAACGCACUCAGGCAGGUGGUUUGUUCUGGAUGCAGAAACCAGAGAUCUAGUUUCUAUCCACACAGACGGGAAUGAACAGCUCUCUGUGAUGCGCUACUCAAUAGAUGGUACCUUCCUGGCUGUAGGAUCUCAUGACAACUUUAUUUACCUCUAUGUAGUCUCUGAAAAUGGAAGAAAAUAUAGCAGAUAUGGAAGGUGCACUGGACAUUCCAGCUACAUCACACACCUUGACUGGUCCCCAGACAACAAGUAUAUAAUGUCUAACUCGGGAGACUAUGAAAUAUUGUACUGGGACAUUCCAAAUGGCUGCAAACUAAUCAGGAAUCGAUCGGAUUGUAAGGACAUUGAUUGGACGACAUAUACCUGUGUGCUAGGAUUUCAAGUAUUUGGUGUCUGGCCAGAAGGAUCUGAUGGGACAGAUAUCAAUGCACUGGUGCGAUCCCACAAUAGAAAGGUGAUAGCUGUUGCCGAUGACUUUUGUAAAGUCCAUCUGUUUCAGUAUCCCUGCUCCAAAGCAAAGGCUCCCAGUCACAAGUACAGUGCCCACAGCAGCCAUGUCACCAAUGUCAGUUUUACUCACAAUGACAGUCACCUGAUAUCAACUGGUGGAAAAGACAUGAGCAUCAUUCAGUGGAAACUUGUGGAAAAGUUAUCUUUGCCUCAGAAUGAGACUGUAGCGGAUACUACUCUAACCAAAGCCCCCGUCUCUUCCACUGAAAGUGUCAUCCAAUCUAAUACUCCCACACCGCCUCCUUCUCAGCCCUUAAAUGAGACAGCUGAAGAGGAAAGUAGAAUAAGCAGUUCUCCCACACUUCUGGAGAACAGCCUGGAACAAACUGUGGAGCCAAGUGAAGACCACAGCGAGGAGGAGAGUGAAGGGGGCAGCGGAGACCUUGGUGAGCCUCUGUAUGAAGAGCCAUGCAACGAGAUAAGCAAGGAGCAGGCCAAAGCCACCCUUCUGGAGGACCAGCAAGACCCUUCGCCCUUGUCCUAACACCCUGGCUUCAGUGCAACUCUUUUCCUUCAGCUGCAUGUGAUUUUGUGAUAAAGUUCAGGUAACAGGAUGGGCAGUGAUGGAGAAUCACUGUUGAUUGAGAUUUUGGUUUCCAUGUGAUUUGUUUUCUUCAAUAGUCUUAUUUUCAGUCUCUCAAAUGCAGCCAACUUUAAAGUUUUAGUUUGGUGUUUAUUGAAAAUUAACCAAACUUAAUACUAGGAGAAGACUGAAACAUUAAUGAUGUCUCACAAAUUACUGUGUACCUAAGUGGUGUGAUGUAAAUACUGGAAACAAAAACAGCAGUUGCAUUGAUUUUGAAAACAAACCCCCUUGUUAUCUGAACAUGUUUUCUUCAGGAACAGCCAGAGGUAUCACAAACACUGUUACUCAUCUACUGGCUCAGACUGUACUACUUUUUUUUUUUUUUCCUGAAAAAGAAACCAGAAAAAAAUGUACUCUUACUGAGAUACCCUCUCACCCCAAAUGUGUAAUGGAAAACUUUUAAUUAAGAAAAACUUCAGUUUUGCCAAGUGCAAUGGUGUUGCCUUCUUUAAAAAAUGCCGUUUUCUUACACUACCAGUGGAUGUCCAGACAUGCUCUUAGUCUACUAGAGAGGUGCUGCCUUUUCUAAGUCAUAAUGAGGAACAGUCCCUUAAUUUCUUGUGUGCAACUCUGUUUUAUCCUAGAACUAAGAGAGCAUUGGUUUGUUAAAGAGCUUUCAAUGUAUAUUAAAACCUUCAAUACUCAGAAAUGAUGGAUUCCUCCAAGGAGUCCUUUACUAGCCUAAAAACAUUCUCAAAUGUUUGAGAUUCAAGUGAAUGGAAGGAAAACCACAUGCCUUUAAAACUAAACUGUAAAAAUUACCUGGCUAAUUUCAGCUAAGCCUUCAUCAUAAUUUGUUCCCUCAGUAAUAGGAGAAAUAUAAAUACAGUAAGUUUAGAUUAUUGAAUUGGUGCUUGAAAUUUAUUGGUUUUGUUGUAAUUUUAUACAGAUUAUAUGAGGGAUAAGAUACUCAUCAAAUUGCAAAUUCUUUUUUUUACAGAAGUGUGGAUAACAGUCACAGCAGUUUUUUUUACCAACAGCAUACUUAACAGACUUGCUGUGUAGCAGUUUUUUUCUGGUGGAGUUGCUGUAAGUCUUGUAAGUCUAAUGUGGCUAUCCUACUCUUUUGGGCAAUGCAUGUAUUAUGCAUUGGAAAGGUAUUUUUUUUAAGUUCUGUUGGCUAGCUAUGGUUUUCAGUACAUUUCCUACUUUAAGAGUAAUUACUGACAAAUAUGUAUUUCCUGUAUGUUUAUACUUUGAUUAUAAAAAAGUAUUUUGUUUUGAUUUUUUAACUUGCUGCAUUGUUUUGAUACUUUUUAUUUUUUUGGUCAAAUCAUGUUUAGAAACUUUGGAUGAGUUAAGAAGUCUUAAGUAUGCAGGCGUUUACGUGAUUGUGCCAUUCCAAAGUGCAUCAGAACUGUCAUUCCCUUCUAAUAUCUUCUCAGGAGUAAUACAAAUCAGGUAUUUCAUCAUCAUUUGGUAAUAUGAAAACUCCAGUGAACUCCCAAGGACAUUUACAACAUUUAUAUUCACACGCUGUAUGGAAGGGUGUGGGUGUGUGUGAAGGGGCGAGUGGAGACACUGUGUGUAUCUCUAGAUAAGAAGAUAUGCACCACGUUGAAAAUACUCAGUGUAGAUCUCUAUGUGUAUAGGUAUCUGUAUAUCUUUCCUUUUGUUUACAACUGUUAAAAAACCUCAAAAUAGUUCUCUUCAAAAGAAGAGAGAUUCCAAGCAACCCAUCUUUCUUCAGUAUGUUCUGUACAUACUUAUCGGAGCGCGCCAGUAAGUAUCAGGCAUAUAUAUCUGUCUGUUAGCAGUGAUUAUUACAUCAUCAGAUCAGCAUGUGCUAUACUCCCUGCAAGAAAUAUACUGACAUGAACAGGCAGUUCUUGGAGAAGAAAGAGCAUUUCUUUAAGUACCUGGGGAAUACAGCUCUCGGUGAUCAGCAGGGAGUUUAUUUGAGGACAUCAGUCACCUUUGGGGUUGCCAUGUACAAUGAGAUUUAUAAUCAUGAUACUCUUCGGUGGUAGUUUCAAAAGACACUACUAAUACGCAGGAAGCGUUCCAGCUAUUUAAUGCUGGCAACUACUGUUUAAUGGUCAGUUAAAUCUGUGAUAAUGGUUGGAAGUGGGUGGGGUUAUGAAAUUGUAGAUGUUUUUAGAAAAACUUGUGAAUGAAAAUGAAUCCAAGUGUUUCAUGUGAAGAUGUUGAGCCAUUGCUAUCAUGCAUUCCUGUCUCAUGGCAGAAAAUUUUGAAGAUUAAAAAAUAAAAUAAUCAAAAUGUUUCCUCUUUCUAA